CCUGAAUCGGAAGCUGCAUUCUCCGGAAGGAGCAC
rnacentral:sRNA from 1 species